rnacentral:rRNA from 1 species
AUGCUCUCAAGAAGCGAUAGUUUUGAACCUGAAUUUAUAAAAGAAAAUGAACCAAUUCGUGUUGAAAAUAUCUUAGGCAGCAAAUCCACCAGGUUUGAGAUGUUCACAGAAACAUGUCAGUUUCAGGAAACUAUAAUUCAGAAUUGUCUAUCUAAUCCAUCAGUAAGCAAGCAGAGGCCAUGUUGUCAAGGAACAGAGUUCAAAAACCAUCAAUCUCAGGAACACUCUGACCAUGUAUUUGAUUCUGUUGAAUACCCAAUAUAUGAUAAGAUGCUAUUUUCAUUUGCUAGGCAACCAUGA